rnacentral:rRNA from 1 species
UACGUAGGCGGCGCUGUCAGUCGGGUGUGAAAUCCCUCGGCUCAACCGAGGAAUUGCGCCCGAUACUGCAGUGCUUGAGGGAGACAGAGGUAAGCGGAACUGAUGGUGGAGCGGUGAAAUGCGUUGAUAUCAUCAGGAACACCAGUGGCGAAAGCGGCUUACUGGGUCUCUUCUGACGCUGAGGUACAAGCUAGGGAGCAAGGG